UAUAUAUGUGUGUAUGUAAAGGCGAGUCAUUAUUUUCUGCAAAAUCUGCAGACAAGAAUUUAAAUCAAGGGAGACAUAUCCCCAAAAUCAGGAAGAGCGUUGAAUUAAAAGCUUUCAAUUAUUUUUUUUGUUGCAUGCGAGUGUCGGCAGAAAGUAGUAUAAGGAAGGAGAGUUGUGAAAUUUCAAGUUUCAUAACUUCUCUGAGGCAUCACUUUGCUACACACACCAAAAUCCAGUAUCACACUUCUGUGACGCACUCUCAAACUUCUUUCUACCAAAAUCAUACGCACCUAAAAUCUCUUUUCAUCCAAAAUUUUAAGCAAGCAGACAGAAAAGUUUUCCAUCUUUCCUAGCAAGUUUCAAGCAAGCAUUUUUCAAGAAGGAGAAUUUCAAGCAGAAGCACUUCUAAAUAAACCUUUUAUCGUUCUUUUGAGGUCCAUCGCAAGGAAUUUAACUCCAAGUGGGUUAAUAUUGUCAUACGGAGUAAGAAGCAUACGAGGUUGAGCUGUGAUGGAGGGAAGGGUGCUAAUUAAACCAGACCUACUUAUAGUUCCAUACUCUCGGAGGUUCGUGUCUUCAUACAUGGAACCGCGUUCAGUUCCUUCCGCUGUGCAUUAAAGCAAGUGAAAUUCUUUAUUUCUCUAAAGACUCUGAUAAUUAACCAGUAUAUUGUAUUGUCCCCGACUCGAGUCAUUGUGAUCGAGCCAUUCUAUUCAUGUAUUCAAUGUUUAUACUCUACAGUCAGAAAGUUCAACCAUGAAGUCCAUUUUUUU